GAGAAUUACCCCCAUGAUGGCACUGGCGGAACUACCGCGGUCGCAGCUGUGACCGGGCCCGUCAUUCCUGCGACCGGGGUAGUUCCUCCAGUGCCAUCAUGGGGGUAAUUCUC